rnacentral:lncRNA from 1 species
AACAAGUAAAACGAGUUCGAUACAUUCACAAAUUUUCGUACCUCAACUUACACUGGAUACGAGGCUGCUUCGGUAUAACACUAGUUCCGAGAAGUAGGUUUAACACGACUAGCGCUCUUAUUCUCUAAGGUCAGUGCUUGGUGAUCAAUCUAAACAACAUGAAUUACGUAAGAGUUUCCCAAAAAUUGGAUCUAACAACUAAGUGAAAUGAACCAUGAAUCCCCCUUGAACCAACCCAUAAACCCAACAAGUAAACUACUUGCAUAUACUCAUGCAAUUCAAAACCAUAUGAAUAAAUUAUUGCAUAAAAUAUUAAGAGUAUGAGAAAGGGUUUAAACAUCUUCUCAGGGAUACAAAGUAGAUGAACCUUCUUCCUUAAACAAGUAGAAAACGAAAAACUAAGAGAUAAGUAAGAGGAGAAACGGUUUUGUGACUUUGAAGGUGAAUGAAAUGUUUUCCAAGAGGAGGUGGAGUAGGACGAGCUCUCACGACCGUUAAGGAGUCUCUGUUCAUCUCCAGGGCUACUACUGGUGGAGGCGUUAUGAAGAAGCAAAAAGAAGCACAAAAAAGGAACACUUCAAGCACUAGAUCUUGAUGUGUAUUUAUAGGGUUUGUCUUAGAUUAGGGUUUUGUAAGGACAAACUUUUCUUUUCAUGGUAAGUGCGGGAUAAGUGGCGGCGAAGGAGGCUGGAUGGACCAUAGUGAUGGAAUGGAUGAACCUUCAUGGAGACUCUUGGUUUGGCUGACUAAACGUAUGAGACGUCCAUAACUUUUGUAUGACUAAACGUAUCGUUUUGAUAUCAACAAUAGAUGAAAGAUGACUCUUCCAGCUUUCCUUAGACACCAAGCACACUCAAAUAGGAAUUCGGAAGUUAUGCCCGAUUUACCAAAACGUGUCACAAACCGGCGAGUAGACAAGCAUGUAGUCGGUGGUCCUUAACGACAGCUCGACUAGGAGUCUUCAUGGUCACCUGGUUCAGACCAUCACGACGGUCCAACAACCUUCUUCACCCAACCCUUUUCCUACACGUAACAUGAAAAGAAAAUUUUACACUUGAGAGCUCUAAGCCAAGACAAACCCUACAAAUACUCUUCUAAGAUCUAGGGUUUCAGGUGUGCCUUCCUUGUGCUUCUAUCAUCAGCGCAAGUAGCCUCCACCAGCUGCCCUAGAGACGACCUAAGGCCUAUUAACAGCCGUCGAAACUCGUCUUCCUACAGCUAGCUCCUUUUGGGAGCUAUCGCCGUUCACCUUCGAAGUCACCAAACCGUUUCUACUUUUUCUAGUUUCUUAUGUUUCUGUUUUCUACUUGUUGAACGAAGAAAGUUCAUAAACUUUGUAUCUCAGACCAGAUCUCUAAACCCUUUUCUAAUACUUUUAACCUUUUAUGCAAUAUCUUAUUCAUAUGGUUUUGAUUUGCAUGCGUAUGUGUGAGUAGUUUACUCGUUAGGCGCUAGGUUUAUUCUCAAUGCAAUAUUGCUUGAGUAGCUAACUUGUGAUUGUCAUAUAUAGUUUCAGUAUCAAACUAUAUAUGACAAUAUAUGGAAAACUUUAUAUUAGCCAACAUGAAAUCUAUUCUUUACCUACAAAAUCAAUAACUUUCAAUUGUAAUUUCUCAAUAAUUAAUUAACAUAUCUAGCCACCAAAUCUAAUAAAAAGGACAAAGUUUUUUUGAAGUAACAUUUUCAUGCAUCAUAAAAAAUUUUAACCAAAACAAAGGACCAUAUCUCAGUAGAUUUUUUAAUUUAUUAAUCAUAAAUACUUACUACUGAAGAGAAGACUGUGUCAACAAUCCAAAUCUCGUCCAAAGCAAAUAUCCAAAAUGCAGAGUCCUCAAACAAGCAGAUGAAAUUAGCUGCUUAAUAAUCUUUCUUGUGAGUUGGUGAUGUGCGUCUCGUCAUUUCUUCCCAUCGAUCUGAACGUUUCUACAAAAUGUGUGUUGUCCAAAAUCAUUACGCACACAAAAGAGAGAUUUGAUAUCCAACAUAAUAAGAUGCAAACAAUUAGAGUUUGGUAACAUAUCAUCCAGAAAAUUAGGAGCUCACACAAUCUCUCAACCUUGAUUUCAAUGGAAAUUUUUUUCUCUCACCAAAGAUAGAAAAUAUUAAAAACCUUUACUCAAAAUUUUAGUGUAGUUCUUAGCUUAAAAUCACUACUUCUGGUCUUUUCUACGCCCACCCCUCAUACUAACAAAAAAAACAUGCAACAAAGACCCGACUUACCCUAGAAAACACUAAGGAAUUAUAAACUACAUCUUCUUUAAAAGAAAUCCAGCCAUUUUGUCGGUCAUCUCAAAAAAAACUUUAUAGAUCUGAUUUGGAUAUCACGAGAGCAUCCAAUUCUAGAUCUGCAAAUGAUGUUGCAAAAUUUGAGAUAGUAGAAAAUCAAAUCACUACCUGUAAUUCACCAUAUGUUGUGGGUACCUUUUCAAAAGAUUGUGUAACUAAGCAGUUGUGAUUGGUUCAUUGAGGGGAGGGAANNN